CUGAUGGGUUGUAUCAGUGAGAGCUUUUAGAAAUGUAAAUUUAAAGAUUGGGACUUUAGGAACGUGAAUUGAAAGAUGGGAGAAAGGUAUUUAACUGGGAUGAAAGUCUAUGGAUAUGAGCCAGAGUGAUCGCUUCCAUCUGAGGAACCAUCUCAUGAAUGAAUGUGGGCUCAUUUGAAGGAACUCAGAUCUCACAAGCUCAAGAGCUCAUCUCUAUGGAGGACUUUACCAAAUCCCCAAGAAGCAGCAAAUAGGUACAUCUUAACUGAGGAGGAAGUGGAGUGACAAGAAGCAACACCAUCUUGAAAGACCAUGAGUAUAUACAUAAUAUUCCUUGGACGUUCACA